rnacentral:tRNA from 1 species
GGGCCGGUAGCUCAGUUGGUAGAGCAACUGACUUUUAAUCAGUAGGUCUCGGGUUCGAGCCCCGACCGGCUCA